GGGAAGUCCGUGCCAGCGAGCGCGGUAAUACGGGGGGGUGUGGGGUUUGCCGGAAUCACUGGGCGUAAAGGGCGCGUAGGCGGCUCAGUAAGUGGCUGGUGAAAUCCCGGGGGUCAACUCCGGGGCUGCCGGUCAGACUGGUGGGCUUGAGCACGGGAGAGGCGGAUGGAAUUCCCGGUGUAGCGGUGGAAUGCGUAGAGAUCGGGAAGAAUACCGGUGGCGAAGGCGUUCCGCUGGGCCGUUGCUGACGCUGAGGCGCGACAGCGUGGGGAGCAAACAGGAUUAGAUACCCCGGUAGUC
rnacentral:rRNA from 1 species